CGCCUACUCCCUCCGUUCCAAAUUACUUGUCUCGGAAAUGGAUGUAUCUAGAACUAAAAUACAUCUAGAUACAUCCAUUUUCGCAACAAGUAAUUCAGAACGGAGGGAGUAAUAG
rnacentral:pre_miRNA from 1 species